rfam:Schistosoma mattheei strain Denwood, Zambia genome assembly, scaffold: SMTD_contig0001399
GCACUGCUGAGGAGUCCCACAAUAGGACGAAACAGCUUUCCAGUGC